UCUGAGACUGUAGCAGGCGCUACAAACCGGAGCAAGGACAUAUGACGAGACAGCACGCAGGAGCUUCAGGCAGAAGCAACCAGAUGUGGCAUCGUGGGCAGAAGCUGUGAAGAGUUCAGCUCGGAGUGGGUCGAGAAGAAAAGAGGCUGCUGGAAGCGAGACAGAGUGUGCUGGCUGCGGGUGAGGUGGGCAUUUGGAAGUGUGCCACCAUAGAAAUACAGGACAACGCACCAAAGAUGUCUGCAAAAUGGACCGAAUUCAGACCGAAUGCCGCCGGUUACCUACAGCUCCGAGCCGUCCGCGGGUUAGGGAUUGACGGUGGUGCUUCUCGUGAGCGUGGGAUAUUUGUUGUGUGCUGUGUGUCUCCUGUGCUUUGUACACAGU